rnacentral:lncRNA from 1 species
UCAAGCUAGUGACGUUAAAGAAGCGUUUGCUGGGAGGAAACCCAGUGCUCUAAACCUUUACUUUUUAAUUUUUUAUUUUUGGUUUUAAUGUGUGCUUUCUUUUCUUUUAUUUUUUUUUUGUGCUCUGCUUGAAUGAACUGAACUGCUUUGAUUCAACUGUGCUCUGUUUUGUGUGAUAAGCUUGCUUUUUUGAAAAUUCUAGUGUUUGACUGAAGUUGAGAUGAUGCAUGAUGAUAAAUUUGUGAGACAGGUGUUAAACCCCUGACAAGUGUACCAGAUCGUUAUCAAGUAAUAUAUAAACGGUAAGUCCGAGUAUCGUUCUCCAAAAGGACUCUUAGGCCUUAUCUUUCAUGUAAAUUGAUCUUAUAAGACAUGAAAUGAAUUAAAUUUAAGCUUUUAAUGUAAAGAACAAAAAUAAACAUGCAAAUGAAAGUGAAUGAAUUGGCAAGGAAAAGAUAUGGAUGAAUGGAGUUGUUGGGGUUUACAAUUUUAUCUUAUCUGCCC